UACGGGGGGGCAAGCGUUGUUCGGAAUUACUGGGCGUAAAGGGCUCGUAGGUGGCCAACUAAGUCAGACGUGAAAUCCCUCGGCUUAACCGGGGAACUGCGUCUGAUACUGGAUGGCUUGAGUUUGGGAGAGGGAUGCGGAAUUCCAGGUGUAGCGGUGAAAUGCGUAGAUAUCUGGAGGAACACCGGUGGCGAAGGCGGCAUCCUGGACCAACACUGACACUGAGGAGCGAAAGCCAGGGGAGCAAACAGG
rnacentral:rRNA from 1 species